rnacentral:rRNA from 1 species
GACGAACGCUGGCGGCGUGCUUAACACAUGCAAGUCGAACGGAAAGGCCCUGCUUUUGUGGGGUGCUCGAGUGGGGAACGGGUGAGUAACACGUGAGUAACCUGCCCUUGACUUUGGGAUAACUUCAGGAAACUGGGGCUAAUACCGGAUAGGAGCUCCUGCUGCAUGGUGGGGGUUGGAAAGUUUCGGCGGUUGGGGAUGGACUCGCGGCUUAUCAGCUUGUUGGUGGGGUAGUGGCUUACCAAGGCUUUGACGGGUAGCCGGCCUGAGAGGGUGACCGGCCACAUUGGGACUGAGAUACGGCCCAGACUCCUACGGGAGGCAGCAGUGGGGAAUAUUGCACAAUGGGCGGAAGCCUGAUGCAGCAACGCCGCGCGCGGGAUGACGGCCUUCGGGUUGUAAACCGCUUUCGCCUGUGACGAAGCGUGAGUGACGGUAAUGGGUAAAGAAGCACCGGCUAACUACGUGCCAGCAGCCGCGGUGAUACGUAGGGUGCGAGCGUUGUCCGGAUUUAUUGGGCGUAAAGGGCUCGUAGGUGGUUGAUCGCGUCGGAAGUGUAAUCUUGGGGCUUAACCCUGAGCGUGCUUUCGAUACGGGUUGACUUGAGGAAGGUAGGGGAGAAUGGAAUUCCUGGUGGAGCGGUGGAAUGCGCAGAUAUCAGGAGGAACACCAGUGGCGAAGGCGGUUCUCUGGGCCUUUCCUGACGCUGAGGAGCGAAAGCGUGGGGAGCGAACAGGCUUAGAUACCCUGGUAGUCCACGCUGUAAACGGUGGGUACUAGGUGUGGGGUCCAUUCCACGGGUUCCGUGCCGUAGCUAACGCUUUAAGUACCCCGCCUGGGGAGUACGGCCGCAAGGCUAAAACUCAAAGGAAUUGACGGGGCCCCGCACAAGCGGCGGAGCAUGCGGAUUAAUUCGAUGCAACGCGUAGAACCUUACCUGGGUUUGACAUGGAUCGGGAGCGCUCAGAGAUGGGUGUGCCUCUUUUGGGGUCGGUUCACAGGUGGUGCAUGGCUGUCGUCAGCCCGUGUCGUGAGAUGUUGGGUUAAGUCCCGCAACGAGCGCAACCCUUGUUCACUGUUGCCAGCACGUUAUGGUGGGGACUCAGUGGAGACCGCCGGGGUCAACUCGGAGGAAGGUGGGGAUGACGUCAAGUCAUCAUGCCCCUUAUGUCCAGGGCUUCACGCAUGCUACAAUGGCUGGUACAGAGAGUGGCGAGCCUGUGAGGGUGAGCGAAUCUCGGAAAGCCGGUCUCAGUUCGGAUUGGGGUCUGCAACUCGACCUCAUGAAGUCGGAGUCGCUAGUAAUCGCAGAUCAGCAACGCUGUGGUGAAUACGUUCCCGGG